GUGAGGAAUAUUGCGCAAUGGAGGCAACUCUGACGCAGCCAUGCCGCGUGCAGGAAGAAGGCGCUACGCGUUGUAAACUGCUUUUAACCGGGAAGAAACCCCAGGACGUGUCCUGGGUUGACGGUACCGGAGGAAUAAGCACCGGCUAACUUCGUGCCAGCAGCCGCGGUAAUACGAAGGGUGCAAGCGUUAUCCGGAUUCAUUGAGUUUAAAGGGUGCGUAGGCGGAGCGUUAAGUCAGUGGUGAAAUCCUGCAGCUUAACUGUAGACUUGCCAUUGAUACUGGCGCUCUUGAGUGCGCUUGAAGUGGGCGGAAUGUGCCGUGUAGCGGUGAAAUGCUUAGAUAUGGCACAGAACACCAAUUGCGAAGGCAGCUCACUAAGGCGAUACUGACGCUGAGGCACGAAAGCGUGGGGAUCGAACAGGAUUAGAUACCCGAGUAGUCC
rnacentral:rRNA from 1 species